GAGUAGACCGUGUAGAGGACAUGGUCGGUGUUCACAAAGCAGUCCAGCAUCUCCUCCUCCGCUUUGGCUUGACGCCAGAAGAAGGGUGGCAACGAAAUAGAGAUGGAGAAGACCCACACCAGCACGAUCAUGAUGGCCGCCCUUUUGGGAGUCCUUUUAGCAGAAUACUCCACCGCAUCAGUGAUGGCCCAGUAGCGGUCCAAGGCGAUGACACAGAGAUGCAUGAUGGAAGCAGUGCAACAGGUGAUAUCCGACGACAGCCAGAAGUCGCAGACCACCUGGCCUAGUGUCCAGCGUCCAGUGACCGUGUACAUGGUGCUGAUGGGCAUCACCAGGAUGGACACGAGCAGGUGAAAUCGUCAGCAAAGCCUCCAGCACUGAACAACCUUUUCCUGUGUAGCCAUAGACCAUAGCCAGUCUCCUCUCCAACAGCCUCACUAUCUCUGAAAGUUGGGUCAAGUAACUCACUAAAUCAGAAUUUCAAAGCAAAACUGCAAAACUUCAAGUAUCAUUUACAAGAAGGAUCUAUGCGAGGCACAAAGCAAAUCUCAAGCAACUGAAACUGACAGUUAAUCAAAAAAGAUGAUUAAGAAAAUAGCUGUAAUCAAAGGAAAUAACUUCUCUAUCAACAAUCAGCAUAGGCCACGACUGCAAGCUCCUGCUGCCUGCACUUCCUUGCCAUGAUGGACUGUACCUUGAAUCCUGUACUAAAAGAAACCUGUUCUUUCAUAAGUUGCUUUCGUCAGAGUAGAAUGCUCACAGCAACAGAAGAGAAACUAGGACAUCUUAUAAAGUUGCACUUCAUGAAUUGCCAGCACCCAAAUCUAACUCAACCCUCCCAAGUAUACAGAGCCAUGUUCUAUCUUGUCCUUGUCAAACACCCCUGUUUUCUCUCAGGUACUUAAAAAGGCUGAUGGCUGACACUUUGGCUACAAAAAUGUAUAACUACGUUGUCUUGAUCCAUUCUUCACUCGGUAGAUUAUUGCUUUGGAUCCUAAGUGCCAAUAUUUUUUUUUCUGUGUAUAUUAAAUGAAAAGGUCUAAAAUACUGGUGACUUCUCUUGUUAGAAAGGUUUACUUUUCUGUCAAAUGUGUACUUUAUUUUCAGUAUUAGAGUAUGCUUUUAUUAUGUCUAUUUUUUCUCUACUACUGCUUGACUAUAACAGACUAGUUAUGAGAAUUUGUCCUAAGGUAGUACAUUUUAAGAUUAAAACUUUGGGCUGUGGGGAGUUCUCAGAUCAUUGUCAGUUUGGUUCCAAAAGGAAUGUGAGACCCCAAUUCUCUUUUAUUCUUCUUUCUUCUUCUUAAUCAUGAGGUAAAGCAGUUUACCAUUUGUGCCAUCUUGGGCCUCUUGCAUCCUUAACUCCAGUCCAAAUAUAGGUUAAUGAAAUCUUAGAAUUUUCAAUCCAAAAGCAUGAGACAAAACACACCUUUCGUCUUCAUCGAUCAAUCAUUUAACAUUUUGGUUGUUAUAGUAAUAAGAAAGAACUAACAAAGACCUUUCAUGUCCUGAGAGAGGGAUCAUAUAUUUUAUUAAAUAUUUUAUGGUGCUAUUUUUAUUACGUUUGCAUUUUAAGUAUGAGUGUGCAUAGAAAAUUGGCAUUUAAUUGAAUAUGAUUUAUAAAUUUAAAAUUGCUGAGUAUUUUGAGCCAUAAAAAUUAUGCUGCAUUUGUUUUUGUUUUGUGCAUAUGUAUACUUAUUUUUACUUAUUAUCAAUGUUUUAUUGUUUAAAAACAGAUGAAUCC
ensembl:antisense